AACCAAAACUCCAUAUACGUCAUCGUUCUUCCUGAUUCGUCGUUCUCCAUGUUUUGUCAUUCUCCGUGUUUCCUCGAAGAAACUUCCUAUAGCUUAGAUAUGAAUGGUAACGGAAUGAUAUGAUUGUGGUCGGGGAGAAAAGUACGGAGGAGUAAGUGAAUCGAUUUCAAGAUAAAAAGAUCUGAUGAAAUAGUUGCAACAGUGAACAAGAAAAGAAUGAUGAGGGAGAUUUCAACUAGACGAAAUAUCUUGUGCACACGUAAUUGUUGUUUCGAAGAGCAAGAUAUUACUCCCUACUAUUCUUAUUACUACAUUGCAGAAAAUGUGCAGAUACAUUAAAUACAUAUCUCACUACAUUAAAUUCUAAUUACUAAGAUUCACAUUAUUUUGUAAUAUGAAUUUCUAUAUCAUAUUUUGGCCGAAGAUCCAUGUAUCUAACAAUUUUAAAAGUCAAGAUACACGAGUUGUUGUGGACGUUGUGGACAAGAAUGUCAUAACCGUAAGACUUGUGCUUUUUUCCAAAGGAGAACGAAUCAUUGAAUUUAUACGAGAAAUUGAUGUUCAUGUUGAA